rnacentral:rRNA from 1 species
GCGUUGUUCGGAAUUACUGGGCGUCAAGGGCGCGUAGGCGGCUUGGUCAGUCCCGUGUGAAAUCCCUCGGCUCAACUGAGGAACCGCACGGGAAACUGCCUGGCUUGAGUUCGGGAGAGGGAAGCGGAAUUCCGGGUGUAGCGGUGAAAUGCGUAGAUAUCCGGAGGAACACCGGUGGCGAAGGCGGCUUCCUGGACCGACACUGACGCUGAGGCGCGAAAGCUAGGGGAGCAAACGGG